GCCCGAGUGGCGGAAUGGUAGACGCAGGGGACUCAAAAUCCCCCGCCUUCGCAGGCGUGAGAGUUCGAGUCUCUCCUCGGGCACCA
rnacentral:tRNA from 1 species